UACGGAGGGGGCUAGCGUUGCUCGGAAUUACUGGGCGUAAAGGGCGCGUAGGCGGAUGUUUAAGUCGGGGGUGAAAGCCCGAGGGCUCAACCCUGGAAUUGCCUUCGAUACUGGACAUCUUGAGUACGGGAGAGGGUGAGUGGAACUCCGAGUGUAGAGGUGAAAAUUCGUAGAUAUUCGGAAGAACACCAGUGGCGAAGGCGGCUCACUGGUCCGGUACUGACGCUGAGGUGCGAAAGCGUGGGAG
rnacentral:rRNA from 1 species